rnacentral:rRNA from 1 species
ACGGAAGGCAGCAGUGGGGAAUAUUGCACAAUGGGGGAAACCCUGAUGCAGCGACGCCGCGUGAGCGAAGAAGUAUUUCGGUAUGUAAAGCUCUAUCAGCAGGGAAGAAAAUGACGGUACCUGACUAAGAAGCCCCGGCUAACUACGUGCCAGCAGCCGCGGUAAUACGUAGGGGGCAAGCGUUAUCCGGAUUUACUGGGUGUAAAGGGAGCGUAGACGGUCUUGCAAGUCUGAAGUGAAAGAGCGGGGCUCAACCCCGAAACUGCUUUGGAAACUGCGGGACUCGAGUGCCGGAGGGGUAAGCGGAAUUCCUGGUGUAGCGGUGAAAUGCGUAGAUAUCAGGAGGAACACCGGUGGCGAAGGCGGCUUACUGGACGGUAACUGACGUUGAGGCUCGAAGGCGUGGGGAGCAAACAGGAUUAGAUACCCUGGUA